rnacentral:rRNA from 1 species
UACGUAGGGGGCAAGCGUUGUCCGGAUUUAUUGGGCGUAAAGAGCGUGUAGGCGGCUUCACAGGUCCGCUGUGAAAACUCGAGGCUCAACCUCGAGCUGUCGGUGGAAACCGUGUGGCUAGAGUCCGGAAGAGGAGAGUGGAAUUCCCGGUGUAGCGGUGAAAUGCGCAGAUAUCGGGAAGAACACCCGUGGCGAAGGCGGCUCUCUGGGACGGUACUGACGCUGAGACGCGAAAGCGUGGGGAGCGAACGAGGAAUUAGAUACCCUGGAGACCAAG